AUGUCAACCUUAGGUCAUUCCUUAGGUGCUGUCUACCUUAAGAUUAGGAGGUAUGGUCUUGUUGGAGGAAGUGUGUCACUGGGGGUGGGCUUUAAUGUUUCAAAAGUGCAUGCCAGGCUUAGUCUUAGUCUUUCUCUCUCUGUCUCUCUCUCUCUCUCUCUGUCUCUGUCUCUGUCUCUCUCUCUCUCUCUCUCUCUCUCUCUCUCUCUCUCUCUCUCUCUCUCUCUCAUGUGCACGAGCUUUCUGACUUUUUCUGUCCACAUAUUAGGGUGUAGACUCUUAGCUACUUCUCUAGCACCAUGUCUAUUUGAAAUGUACCAUGCUCCUGACAUGAUGAUAGUGGACUAACUUCUGAAACUGUAAACAAACCCCAAUUAAAUACUUUCUUUAAAAAGAGUUGUUAUGGUCAUGGUGUCUUUUUACAGCAAUAGAAACCCGAAUUAAGAUAAAAGUUGGUUCCAGGGACUGGGGUAUUGCUGUGAUAGGCCUAACCAUGCUUUUAUCUGGAGGAAUAUUUUGAGACUUGGGGUUAGAAAAGCAGUUGAACACUUUACAUGGGGCUUAACAGGCUAUCCUAGCAGGAACAUGGAGGACAAUAGUGCCAAGGGUGAGUUAAACUGUGUGGGCCUGGCUCUAGAAGAUUCAGAGGAGAAUACUAAUAUGUAGCUUAGAGACCAUUCUUGUGAUAUUUUGCCAGACAAUAUAGCUGCUUUCUGCCCUUGUCUGUAAAGUCUGCCUGAAGCUAAAUUGAAGAGUUAUAGAUUAAUAGCUUUGGCGGAGGAAAUUUCAAAGUAGCCUAGUAUUGACUCUGUCGGGUGGUUAUUAGUGUUCGUUCUUAUGAAGAUCUAUAAUGGAAAAGGAGCAAGCUGAGCAAAGAAGAAUAGAAAAUGUACAGUUCAAGGAGAAGAGGGACACCAGGAAGUAGAAUGGAACUAAAUUCUGUAUUCAAGGAGAUAAAUAGAUUAAAGAAAAGCCUGAUGUUAGAUGGAAUAAAGGGAGUGGUGACCUCAGGGCAAGACCCCAUGCAGCUAAGCUUCCAACUUGUGAAAAGGAAUUGAAGAAAAGCUUAGGGUUGGAUGUGGUGAAAAAUACCUUUAAUCCUAGCACUCUGGGCAGAGGUGGUUGGAUCUCUGAGUUUGAGGCUACCCUGGUCUACAGAUGCAGUUUCAGGACAGCCAAGUUUAGGCACUAAAGGAAACCACUGAAAGCAGAAAGCUGGUGAAGAUGUCCUUGAGCAAGGGGGACAUGUUCCAGCCCUAGCAAGCAGCAGAAUUUGGCAGCUUUGGCCAUGUAAUUCUGGUUUUAGAAUCUCCCUUCAAGACUAAGGAAGACUGCUGAGGUGUCAGGGGUGUCCCUACAUGGAGGCUUAGAGAGGCCAUCUCAGCACCAGGUCUGCUUUGCACACCACCAUGCUUCCUGUCAUGCUGAUAAACCUCUGAGACUGUAAGACAGCCCCAAGUAAACAUUGUCCUUUGUAAGAGUUGUGGUAGUCAUGGUGUCUUUCCACAACAAUAGGACCCUGAACUAAGACAUUCCCUCAACUUUUGCUAACAGCUUCCCACUGCUCACUCGGAAGUCUCCCCGCUGCAGGACUCUGCACAAGCUGCUUUUGCACUACGCAGCCUAGCAUUGUACUCCACAGGUCAUUCUAAGACACUCACUCCAGUGUCUUCUUUCCGGCUAAUCUCCCAGUUCUCUCAGAUGAACGACAAAGAAACAUUUCCUCUGGGAAGACUCCGCCACCUCCUUCUGAUGAUCUUAAACUGUUCUCUGUCUCUGUCUUGUUUCUCUCAUACCUUAGCCUAUGUUCUCUUGCUGUAACAGAAAGCCUGAGACUGUGCAAUUUGUAAGAGUAAGAGGUUUAUUCUGCUCAGUGUUAUUGAGGUUGGAAUAUCCAGUAUUAGGAGAGGGUCUUGUUCUGCCAUACAACAUAGAGGAAAAGCAGAAGAAUGAGUGAUCACUUGUGGGAAGGGCAAAGCACAGAGGCACCCCCACUUCAUAUUUAAAUACCCUCCCUGUGGCUGAUCCAGUUCUGGGAGAAUUGCAAAUCCCUCUUAAUGAUUCAGUCACCCCUUAGCGUUCCUUCCUACCACUUCUCCAGAGUGCCAAACCUAGUAUGCAUUUCAGUGUGAGUUUGGAGGGAACAAGCCAUAUUCAAGCUUAGCAGAGAGCCAGUAGUACAAUAAAGGCUAUGGGUCAAACAGUAAACACCUAAAGAAUCUGGGUUAGAAACUUGGCUCUGCGAUUUCCCUAUUGCUCACUCUGGGCAAUAAUUGUUGAUAUCCUGCGCUCUAGCUUGCUUCUGGAAGGAUGUAGAUUGUGUACAUUUGCUUGAGCCAAAGUAAAAAUCUAAUCAGAACUUACAGAUUAAUUGAAGGAAUAUACAAAUAAGAAAAUGCUUUUGAAGGUAGUCUGACUGAAAAUGUAUCCUGCUCUAGCUCCUUGUGUGUGUGUGUGUGUGUGUGUGUGUGUGUGUGUGUGUGCGCGCGCGCGCGUGCGCGCGUGUAGCCUCACAUUGUGUGUAUACCUGUGGAGCUGAGAGGCUGAAGUUGGUGUCCUCCUUGGUCAUCUCCACCUUAGUUUUGAGAAAGUCUCUCACUGAACCUUGAGCUUACUGGUUCAAGUAAACUGUCUGGCCAGUGAGCUUCCAGGGAUCUAAUGGUCCCUGUCUUCCCAGAGCUGGGAUUACAAGCGUGUACCUGGAUUUUUAUGUGGAUUCUGUGAACUGAAACUCAGGUCUUUAUGCUUGUACAGCAAGCACUUUACCAGCUCCUAGGUCCCUCUAGCUACUUCAGAUUGUAGGACCAUGUUUCUUAUUGCUGGUCUUUAGUCAUUUCUCCUAACAAGACUCCUAGGAUGAUUGACAUACUAUAGAUUCUCUCCAGGCACUUGCUUCGUGGUGGCGUUUUCACCUUCCCUUUGUUAGAUGCCAAUACUACUGUAAUGACCUCAUCUCCCCUCUGUAACUCCUGGCUGUUUCUGCUCACAGGACGUCUAUAAGGUCUCAUCUUCAUCUACACAUCAACAUUGUUUUAGUAAGUGUUAUUAUUACACACUUCCAUGUAUCAACUGAAGUGACUAUAUAAUUAAAACCCCCUUUCUGUAUUAUACAGAUGGUUUACCAUUUAAUUUUGAAGUAUACUUAACUUGGUUGUGAAACAAAAUUAUUUUAUGUUUUUUCUCUACUUAGCCUGUGAAUAUUUAGUCUGGGGAUUUUGCAUCUACACUGAGCUGUAGGUGUUAUGAUGGAGUGCCUGGCACAAACAACCUCAUGGAAGAAAGGUGUUUUUGGCUCAUGGUUUUAGGAGGUCCAGUCUCUGGUCAUGUGACCCCAUGUACUCUGACAGAGCAUCAUGGCAGCACUGAGCAUGUGGCAGAAGAUGUUCUUCAUCUCCUACUGGAUACAAAGUUGAGGAUGAAAGAUUGGUGACUAGAUAUCUAAUCUUCAAAGUCAUAUUGGCAUUGACCUGCUUCCUCUAGUGUGGCCCUACCUCCUAACAUGUCCAGAAGCUCCCCAAAUAAUGCCAUCAGCUGGAGAUCAAAAAAGUGGAAUAUUUCAUAUCUGAAAAUUAACACAGGAAACACUGAGAUUGACUGCCUAGGGUAGCCAAUGGCCAUUUAGAAGGACCCUUGUUUCAGGGCUGUGAUGCUGUGUGUUAAUCAUAGGCAUAGUUUUGGGGCUGACUGUCUUCUUUUCUCUGUAGCCUUUCAUAGUUCCCAUGGCCACAGUGAGUUUGUGGCCCUAGGAUAGGCAUCCUCUUUCUCUGUUGCAGAGGGGCAGCCCAACGGAACGAAAUGAAAAUGUGUGGAGCCAAAUGAGGUAUUUUUCUUUCUUACCCCAAACUAUUUUUCAAAAAGCAUUUUCCUUCAUUAAUCAAAUAGUUAGGUCAUGGCUACCUAAGGAGGCUAUGAGGAAUAAUAGCAUAUGAGGAUCCUUUGGUCUGUGUCUGCUAUCUGUUGGUGUCCCUUUCAGUUGUAGGUUGAACUUGCCCUCCUAGGAGUUAUUUGCACCUUCGCAUCUUUGGUUUCUGUCAACAAAAAAAGCCCAUGAAGUAAACUCUAUUUUCAGCAUUUUUUUUUCUUUUUUUUUCGGAGCCAGGGACUGAACCCAGGGCCUUGCGCUUGCUAGGCAAGUGCUUUACCACUGAGCUAAAUCCCCAACCCCUAUUUUCAGCAUUUAUUAAUAUUAACUUGUCUGCUUUUAGGAUGUUCUCCAUACAUUUUAAUGUUUUAAACCAAAAGUUCUCCCAAAGUUCCAGUUUCUCCACAGUUGGCUCUGGGUGGCAAAGAGUUUUUGUCCUUGGGUACACAUUAAAAUGUUAGAAAUUCAUAUUUCACGGAAGCAUCAUGCUUUUGAACUUUCUACUGGCAUCAUUAGCAUUCCGAGGAGUUCACACUGAUAGUUCUAUAUUAACCCAUUUUGAGUUCUUAAUCGAGUCAUAAUAAUUUGAAGAGGAUAUGUUCCUUUCCAAUAGCACUGAGGGGAAUCUUCAAGAUGAGAGAAAGAGGUUUGAAAAAGAGUUUGGAAACCCCAGAGGAAAUGUUAAUUAGCUUCCCAAAUUUGCUCGCAGUUUGCUGUCACAGUGACUAGACUGAGUCUACUGCAUUGUCGCUUUCCGGUGUUUCUUUAGCUUCUGAGGCUAUAUGUCACCAUCUUUAACAGACCAUAACGUUAGUGGCUCGUAUCCUCUGAAUGAAAUCAGGAUAAAUAGACACAUGGUUUCUUAGUAAUUACAGCAGCACCAUACUUACCCCACAGGUUAGAUAGUCAGGAGACUGUUAUAACUAAAUACAAGUGCCAGACAGCCGGGGUUGAAGCCCAUCUCCACUAUGCACCUCCCAUGUGACUCUGGGCAAUUCUUUUAUGUUUUUCAGCUUUAUUUUCUUUGUUUGGAACGGCAGUAAUGGCAGCACCUACUUCAUAUGGGUGCUAGAUGAUUAAAUACAAUAAGUUGCCAUUUAAGUGUUCUUUAAAAUUAUUUGUAACUUUUACUUACGCUUUAGUAACUUCUUAUUUGAAUACAGUGUAUUUAGAUCAUAUGACUACCCUCUAGCUCUUCCAGGCUCUCCUCACACACCUCCCUUCCAACUCCCCCUCCUCUUCUCAUCCCACUGGGUCUAAUUAUUGUUUCCAAUAUGGGCGUGAGUGUAGGUGCCUUCCACUUGGGAAAUCUACCAGGCCAACUCCUGAAGCAAAGUGACUCUUCCUACUCCAGCGCCAUCAGCUCCAAUAGCCCUACAGCUAUGGACAGGGCCCAUGAGUCCCAUUUCUUUCCAUGCUCUAGUGCUGAUGAACCUGAUCCUGUGCAGGUCUGUGCUGGCAACCGAAGGGCUGGGAGUCCUGAGUGCAAUGGCCCCGCCAUGCCCAGAAGAUAUUCUUUUGCAGCAGGGUCUCCCCACGUAGGGGCUUUACCUCUGCCCACUCUUCUGUGAUAUUCCCUGAGCCUUGGUGGGGAGGGGGUGUGAUUCAGGGUCGAACACUCCACAGUUGCUUGUACCCCAGACUGUUGGGUCUCUGCCGUCCACUGUGUAAAGGAGCUCCUUUGACGAGGGGUCAAGUUUGCAGCAGCAGCUGCCUCACGGCAGCUAUCUACAGGCAAGUGAUAGACUUAGUGGCUAUUUCCUCUGUUAUUUUACCUUCUUUCUUUGUCAUCUUUGCUUUGAAUAGCAAACAUAUAAAGCAAAUGGCAUGUGGGUCCA